GAUGAACGCUGGCGGCGUGCCUAAUACAUGCAAGUCGAGCGAACAGACGAGGAGCUUGCUCCUCUGAUGUUAGCGGCGGACGGGUGAGUAACACGUGGAUAACCUACCUAUAAGACUGGGAUAACUUCGGGAAACCGGAGCUAAUACCGGAUAAUAUUUUGAACUGCAUGGUUCAAUAGUGAAAGACGGUUUUGCUGUCACUUAUAGAUGGAUCCGCGCUGCAUUAGCUAGUUGGUAAGGUAACGGCUUACCAAGGCAACGAUGCAUAGCCGACCUGAGAGGGUGAUCGGCCACACUGGAACUGAGACACGGUCCAGACUCCUACGGGAGGCAGCAGUAGGGAAUCUUCCGCAAUGGGCGAAAGCCUGACGGAGCAACGCCGCGUGAGUGAUGAAGGUCUUCGGAUCGUAAAACUCUGUUAUUAGGGAAGAACAUAUGUGUAAGUAACUAUGCACAUCUUGACGGUACCUAAUCAGAAAGCCACGGCUAACUACGUG
rnacentral:rRNA from 1 species